rnacentral:rRNA from 2 species
GAAUUGACGGGGGCCCGCACAAGCGGUGGAGCAUGUGGUUUAAUUCGAUGCAACGCGAAGAACCUUACCUGGUCUUGACAUCCACGGAAGUUUUCAGAGAUGAGAAUGUGCCUUCGGGAACCGUGAGACAGGUGCUGCAUGGCUGUCGUCAGCUCGUGUUGUGAAAUGUUGGGUUAAGUCCCGCAACGAGCGCAACCCUUAUCCUUUGUUGCCAGCGGUCCGGCCGGGAACUCAAAGGAGACUGCCAGUGAUAAACUGGAGGAAGGUGGGGAUGACGUCAAGUCAUCAUGGCCCUUACGACCAGGGCUACACACGUGCUACAAUGGCGCAUACAAAGAGAAGCGACCUCGCGAGAGCAAGCGGACCUCAUAAAGUGCGUCGUAGUCCGGAUUGGAGUCUGCAACUCGACUCCAUGAAGUCGGAAUCGCUAGUAAUCGUGGAUCAGAAUGCCACGGUGAAUACGUUCCCGGGCCUUGUACACACCGCCCGUCACACCAUGGGAGUGGGUUGCAAAAGAAGUAGGUAGCUUAACCUUCGGG